CCCAUUUUCUCAAUUCUAUGAAAGGCUCAUUUAACUUAAUAGUUAUGCAAGUCCACACCUGUCUGAAUGAUACACUGGCUCAUUCAUUUAGUUGAAAGGUAGACACCAAAUUGAUUUUUAAAAAGACAUACGAACCUAAUUGAAAAAAAAUUCAUGAAUCACCUUAAUGAGGAAUUGGUACCAGGAAAUGCAGUACAGAGAACCUCAGACAAUUUGCUUUUGGAAAAGCGCUAAUCAACCACAUAUUCAUCUGGAAUGAAAAUGCCUCUCUAGCAAGACAUUGUGUGAUAAUGAAGUACAGGAGCUGUUGUUCAUCAUUUCCUUCCCUAAUUUGUUCCAAGAUUAGCUGACUUGUCACAGUCAUUUCCUCGUGGUCCACCACCCUGCCAUGACGGUUGAAGAGCAUAAAGGAGAAAACUUGGACAGAAGAAAACUUGAAAGUGUCCUUCAAAGAGCAGCUCAGUGGACGUGCCCUUCUCAAAACACUGGAUCUUUUCUUUUGAGAUGACCGGGGGGAGGGGUACAAAGUUGAAAAAGGGACCCCCCACAGAUACAUUUGCUACCACCUGUUGUGAAAUGUUGAACCUGCAAAAGAGGCACAGAUAGUGUCCUACUUUCUUAACUAGUAACAGCUGUUUCUGAAAAUAACAGAAACAGAAGCCAAUCCUUUAUGCAAGCUCACUUGUUGCAUGUAUUUCAGAAAUCUAAUACAAAUUUACAACAUCUCUAAUAACCGAGUUUUACACUUUAAAAAGAUCUUGAAAAUACAUACAGAAAAGAAGUCCUCCUUACAAGCAUUGUUUGGAGGGAAAAAUACAGUACAAAGUAAAGAGGGAGACACUUAUAGAUAGGUAACCAAGAUUAUGUAGCCCACUUCUUGCCAGCCCUCUUUUCACAGUUUUCUUAGUUCUAAUGUAAACAAUAUCCCAUAAUUAUUCAAUUCAACCUCCUUAGAAGCUUCUGUUGGUGAGUCCUGAACUCCAAAGGAAGCUUCACAGCACCCAAAGAUCCUAACCUUUCUGUGCCAAAACGCACUAUGUAUGUUUUUUCUGACCCUCCUAAACUAUACCCUGUCCCAUCUCAACAAUUGGCUACCCUAGCCAACACUUCUUAUCCUUGCCUAUCACUCUGCUGGUUUAGGUACUUAGCUUAACUUCUAAUAUCGGAUCCAUCAUUGUUUUGUCAAACAAGGUAACUUUUCAACACAUCUUUGAGACACUCCUUUGCACCCUCUCUCAUUCUCAGGAUAGCAUCAUUGACUGGACUUGCUUCAUUACUAUGGCUUUGCAGAAUGGAUCAACCUCAGGUAGCCCUAUUACAAAAGGUACAAUACUAGUUCUUCAGCACUAACAUUUUAAUUUCAUUUAAAGUCUGAAACUGCCAUUGCAAAAUUAUAAUGGAGACAGUGAAAGAGAUCUGACUAACCAACUCCAUCUUGCUUUAAUCUCCAAGCUGUGUUUGUUCAUUCAGUUGCUUCUUGUUUAGUUAGGCCAAACUAACUUUGGGAGGAACUUAGUUUAUAGUUUAAAAGAAAGAUGAUAAGCGCUCUUUCCCGUAACAAACCUCCUUCUUGCCUGGGGACUAGAUUGCCUUUGUAGGACUAACAAAUUAGCCACAAGAUUAGAAAUUAUGGUUUAGGAGUCAUGCAGCUGGAGCUACAAGAUUCUGACCCUCCCUAAAUUGCUCCUGGGGAUAACAUCACUAUUGUAAAACCUAAGACCUAUGCUUGAGAUGUUUUGCAGACCCCACACUUGAUGGAUCAGCUGUCACUACACAGAGCGAUAAACUGGCUCAUCUGGUCUUGUGGUCCUCACGCAGGAACUGACUCAGCUCAAGAGAAAAGCUUCAACUCCCUAUGAUUUCAUCUUUGACCCGACCAACCAGAGCUCCUGACUCACCCACCCACUACCCACCAAAUUAUCCUUAAGAACUCUGAUCCCUGAAUGCUCGGGAAAUUCAUUUGAGUAAAAAUAAAACUCCAGUCUCCUGUACAGCCAGCUCUGUGUAAAUUACUCUUUCUCUGUUGUAAUUCCCGUCUUGAUAAAUUGGCUCAGUCUAGUCAGUGAGCAAGGUGACAAGUCCAAGAGAAAAAAAUAUUUUUUGAAAUACACAUAUGUGAGUGCAUGUACACAUUCCUUGUUCUCAAAACUUACUGUAACAGAACUCAAUGUUAACGUCAUUCCUCGCUAAGUUACAAAGUUAAGAAUAACACAGUGGUGUGAAUUUUUUAAUCAAAGAAGUACAAGGUAUUUUUAGAUUGUUUCUAAUGACAGAGUUUUACUGAUGUUCUUGUUUCCAUGCAUCUCCACAUAUCUCCACAACUGGAAAUUCCACUAGCAGUAUUCUUUCAUGUAUUCCUUUCUUCAUUCAUUCACUAACUACUUUUUGGAAGGGUACCAUGUGCGAGACACUGUUCUUGAUACAGAGAUGAACAAAAAAGAAAAAAUCUUUGCCAUAAUGGACCUUGCAUUCAAGUGUGGGGAGACAAGAACAUGUAAACCAAUAAUACUUUCAAAUAGUCUGAUAUGAAGAAUAUGCAACGCAGUAAAGAGAUACAAAGAGAGAGGGAGCUAUGUUAGAGAGGCUGGCCAAGUAAGGAUUUGCUAAAUUUUCACAUUUGAAAGGAAACCUAAAUGAUGUUUAUUAUCACGGGGAUCUUGAGGAUAAGUACUGAUGGCACAGGAAGCAGAAGGUACAAAUCCCUGAGGCGGCAAUUCAAGGAAUAGAAAGGCCAGGUGGCUGGAACACAGUAAACUAUAACAGAUUGUCUCCAUUAAAUGCAAAGAAAUUUAACUGAAAACAUAGUAAACCCUUCAUAUAUUUCCUAAGAAAUGCUGCACCUGACAGGGAGAAAAUAGAAGUUUUAGAUGUGAAUGAUGGGUAUUCUGAUAGACUCAAUAGUUAAGAGACACUCUCUCUCACAUCAGUCUGGCAGAAAAUAUGAUUCAAAUGAGUACAGUAGGGAAUUUAUAAAUUAUUACAUGUCAUGACCUUUGGAGUCUGAGGUAGAUUAAAACCACAAGAAUUGAC
rnacentral:lncRNA from 10 species